GAUGAAGAACGUAGCGAAAUGCGAUACGUAAUGUGAAUUGCAAAUUCAGUGAAUCAUCGAGUCUUUGAACGCACAUUGCGCCCCCUGGUAUUCCGGGGGGCAUGCCUGUCCGAGCGUCAUUGCUGCCCUCAAGCACGGCUUGUGUGUUGGGCCCCGUCCUCCGAUCCCGGGGGACGGGCCCGAAAGGCAGCGGCGGCACCGCGUCCGGUCCUCGAGCGUAUGGGGCUUUGUCACCCGCUCUGUAGGCCCGGCCGGCGCUUGCCGAUCAACCCAAAUUUUUAUCCAGGUUGACCUCGGACCAGGUAGGGAUACCCGCUGAACUUAAGCAUAUCAAUAAGCGGAGG
rnacentral:misc_RNA from 1 species